GCGUUAGUGGUGUAACGGUUAGCAUUAGCGCCUUCCAAGCGCUAGUUCCGGGUUCGACUCCCGGCUGACGCA